GAUCAUGGCUCAGGAUGAACGCUGGCGGCGUGCUUAACACAUGCAAGUCGAGCGAGAAAAGUUCUUCGGAGCUUUUCUAGCGGCGGACGGGUGGGUAACACGUGGGCAACCUGCCUCAUAGAGGGGAAUAGCCUUCCGAAAGGAAGAUUAAUACCGCAUAACAUUGUUGAAAGGCAUCUUUUAACAAUCAAAGGAGCAAUCCGCUAUGAGAUGGGCCCGCGGCGCAUUAGCUAGUUGGUG
rnacentral:rRNA from 1 species